rnacentral:lncRNA from 1 species
UUGGGUAUUACAUUUCUUAAUCCAGGUACGUAUUCCGUACUCUUUCAGCAAGACUCUUUUGUUUUUAAUUCGUUCGUUUCGUUAUUCAUUUCGAAAUUUAGUAUUCUCUCUCAUAAUUGUUCCUUGUCAAUUUAUUGUGAUAAAUUUAUUUUGGCGUUGUAUUAGAACUCACAUUUGUACUCUUUAGACUAGUGUGUCAUGUCUAAAUUUUAUUUUUAUAUUUAUAGUGAUGUACAUGUUAGUAUAUUUUUAGAGACUUGUGUUGACGAUUCGUUCGAUUUAACAUGUACAUGUUAGAACCCCUUUGUGUUGAUAUUUUGUCGCAUGUGUUGUGACAUUAUAUUUUGUUAGAAUACUGUAGGN